CACGUAGGGGGCGAGCGUUGUCCGGAUUUAUUGGGCGUAAAGAGCUCGUAGGCGGCUCAGUAAGUCGGGUGUGAAAACUCCAGGCUCAACCUGGAGACGCCACCCGAUACUGCUGUGGCUAGAGUCCGGUAGGGGAGCAUGGAAUUCCUGGUGUAGCGGUGAAAUGCGCAGAUAUCAGGAGGAACACCGGUGGCGAAGGCGGCCCUCUGGACGGUGACUGACGCUGAGACGCGAAAGCGUGGGGAGCAAACAGG
rnacentral:rRNA from 1 species